CCUACGGGAGGCAGCAGUGAGGAAUAUUGGUCAAUGGCCGGAAGGCUGAACCAGCCAAGCCGCGUGAAGGACGAAGGUGCCAAGCAUUGUAAACUUCUUUUGUCAAGGGACAAAAUCAGGCUCGAGAGCCUGACCGAGGGUACUUGAAGAAAAAGCAUCGGCUAACUCCGUGCCAGCAGCCGCGGUAAGAUGGGGGAUGCGAGCGUUAUCCGGAUUUAUGGGGUUGAAAGGGUGCGUAGGCGGGCUGUUAAGUCAGCGGUAAAAGCCCGGGGCUCAACCCCGGCGAGCCGUUGAAACUGGCUGUCUUGAGAUGUCGAGAGGUAUGCGGAAUGCGCAGUGUAGCGGUGAAAUGCUUAGAUAUAGCGCAGAACUCCGAUUGCGAAGGCGGCAUACCGGCGGCGAUCUGACGCUGAGGCACGAAAGCGUGGGUAUCGAACAGGAUUAGAUACCCUUGUAGUC
rnacentral:rRNA from 1 species